rnacentral:rRNA from 1 species
UACGUAGGGUGCAAGCGUUGUUCGGAAUCAUUGGGCGUAAAGAGCGUGUAGGUGGCUUACCAAGUCGAUUGUGAAAGCCCUCGGCUCAACCGGGGAAGUGCAGUCGAAACUGGUAGGCUCGAGAACGGUAGAGGAAGGUGGAAUUCCUAGUGUAGAGGUGAAAUUCGUAGAUAUUAGGAGGAAUACCUGUGGCGAAGGCGGCCUUCUGGGCCGUUUCUGACACUGAGACGCGAAAGCGUGGGUAGCAAACAGGG